ACUCCUACGGGAGGCAGCAGUGGGGAAUAUUGCACAAUGGGCGCAAGCCUGAUGCAGCCAUGCCGCGUGUGUGAAGAAGGCCUUCGGGUUGUAAAGCACUUUCAGUAGGGAGGAAGGUAGUGUAGUUAACACCUGCAUUAUUUGACGUUACCUACAGAAGAAGCACCGGCUAACUCCGUGCCAGCAGCCGCGGUAAUACGGAGGGUGCGAGCGUUAAUCGGAAUUACUGGGCGUAAAGCGCAUGCAGGCGGCCUGUUAAGUCAGAUGUGAAAGCCCGGGGCUUAACCUCGGAAUUGCAUUUGAAACUGGCAGGCUAGAGUCUUGUAGAGGGGGGUAGAAUUUCAGGUGUAGCGGUGAAAUGCGUAGAGAUCUGAAGGAAUAUCAGUGGCGAAGGCGGCCCCCUGGACAAAGACUGACGCUCAGAUGCGAAAGCGUGGGGAGCAAACAGGAUUAGAUACCCUGGUAGGAUAGCG
rnacentral:rRNA from 1 species